rnacentral:rRNA from 1 species
AUUGAACGCUGGCGGCAGGCCUAACACAUGCAAGUCGAACGAGUGGCGGACGUGUGAGUAAUGUCUGGGAAACUGCCCGAUGGAGGGGGAUAACUACUGGACACGGUAGCUAAUACCGCAUACCAUCGGAUGUGCCCAGAUGGGAUUAGCUAGUAGGUGGGGUAACGGCUCACCUAGGCGACGAUCCGUAGCUGGUCUGAGAGGAUGACCAGCCACACGGGAAAUGAGAAAGGGGCCAGACUCCUACGAGAGGAAGCAGUGGGGAAUAUUGAACAAUAGGCGGAAUCCUGAUGAAGACAUGCCGCGUGUAUGAAGAAGGCCUUCGGGUUUUAAAGUACUAUCAGCGAGGAGGCGUUACGCGCAGUAGAAGCACCGGCUAACUCCGUGCCAGCAGCCGCGGUGAUUC